UGGGGAAUAUUGCACAAUGGGCGCAAGCCUGAUGCAGCCAUGCCGCGUGUGUGAAGAAGGCCUUCGGGUUGUAAAGCACUUUCAGCGAGGAGGAAGGUGGUGAGCUUAAUACGCUCAUCAAUUGACGUUACUCGCAGAAGAAGCACCGGCUAACUCCGUGCCAGCAGCCGCGGUAAUACGGAGGGUGCAAGCGUUAAUCGGAAUUACUGGGCGUAAAGCGCACGCAGGCGGUUUGUUAAGUCAGAUGUGAAAUCCCCGGGCUCAACCUGGGAACUGCAUUUGAAACUGGCAAGCUAGAGUCUCGUAGAGGGGGGUAGAAUUCCAGGUGUAGCGGUGAAAUGCGUAGAGAUCUGGAGGAAUACCGGUGGCGAAGGCGGCCCCCUGGACGAAGACUGACGCUCAGGUGCGAAAGCGUGGGGAGCAAACAGGAUUAGAUACCCCUGGUAGUCCAGCGCUGUAAAACGAUGUCGAUUUUGGAGGUUGUGCCCUUGAGGCGUGGCUUCCGGAGCUAACGCGUUAAAUCGACCGCCUGGGGAGUAC
rnacentral:rRNA from 1 species